CCAACCUUCUUAAGUGCCUUCUUUCCAAUGCUGGAAAAAAUCCCUGACAUCUCUGCCCCUCAGCCCCAAAACAGAAUAAAAGAGCAAUAAAAACAUAGAGAUGUUGCAACCCAAGUACCCAAGUGAAGGCAAAGCUCCAUCUGAGGAUGCCUUGGGUUCCAGAAGGUUCAGGUUCACAGCAUGAGCUUAGAGACUGGCUGUUGAGAACACACUGGCUGGGUGACUGAAAGGUCAGAGAAGAUGCUUCAGGAGGACUUUCAAGCAACAGUAAAUAUGGAAGUUGUUCCAGAGGGUGGGACUGAUCUUCUGUUUAUCUGGUACUAGAGGCACUUUUCUGGGCGUGUGAUUUGUAAGCGUUAUAAAAUGAUGGACUCAUAAUGGCCUUAUCCAUCUCCUACCAAGAAACAAGCAGCACUAAUAAACUUAAUCCUCAACACAGUCCUAACAGUAUUUCCAAGGGCUGUUUCAGAAAAUAUAAACACAUUAAAGAACAGCCAGAAACCCAAUCUGCUCAGCAAUCACAGAUUUCUCAGUUGUGUGUUGAAGGCAUAGCAACCCAAAUUACCCUUGAAGUUACUCUAUUUAUUUCAAGUCAUACCCUUUUCCAAGCUGUAUUUUUAGACAACUUCAUACUAGUAGUACAAGAGUUUGUUCCAGACAAGGACUUAAUUUGGGUUUAUGUUAACAUAUAAUUUGUAAAAGUCUGUAAUAAACAUCCUUCACUGAGACUGGCAGAAACUGUAGGAAGGAAAACACCACCACUAACUUUGGCUACUUGCUUUGAUUCAGACUUCAUUGUGCGAUAUUUGUUUUGAGAGCUCCAAAACUGCACAGAAGUGAUGAAUCGUUGUGUCACUAAGACCAGAAUUUCCAAAA